rnacentral:SRP_RNA from 1 species
GGGUAAGUCCUGUACGACCAGCUCCCUCUGAAUCCCCCCAGGGUCGGAAGGCAGCAAGGGUAGGAGGUUGAGCGGUGCGAUACAGGUAGCUUACCCACU